AACCAAGACACUCACAGAUUUUUCCAGAGUCCCCAAAAUAAGUCUCAGGAAAUAAAGGAAGAUAGGAGAGGAGGGGCUCCGGGAAGCCCCACCCUCUCCUCUGCCCUGCUUGGGGGCCUUCCAGAAUCUCAGCAAAUCCUCUGGGAGGCGAGGAAUGAGCAGGGAGAGCUUGGGCACCUGCCAUCUGUUAGCCUCAGGCCCCGAGCCAGCACCUGGCUGGCUGAGCCUCAGUUUCUUUAUCUGUCACCAGGGAGGUGUGAGUGCCAGGCUCGUUAGGGGCUGUACACAGUGUCUGUCCCUGUUGCCCUCGAUCUCAGUCUCAGGAGUGGUCACUGCUGGGAAUGCUGGCCCAGUCGCUGUGCAGGGAGGGCCUCCUCAUCCAAUCACCUCCUUUCACAAGCAGGGAACCAAAGCCCAGAGCAGGGAGGAACAGCCUUAAGGGGGCAAGCAGAGAAGAAGCCAUUUAUCCAGUUGGCCCAGGAGCAGCUAUGGGGCCUGGAGAGCCAGGGAAAGGAGAGGAGGGCCUUGCCUUUCAGGGCUGGGUUUGGAAAGGUACAGGGAGGGACUGAUUUCCAGGGAUCAGUCCACAGAGACAAUGCCCAGCAGACCUCACUACAUCACAGCAUCUCAUACGGUCACCCUUCCUGAAUCUCAGUGAGGUGAACUUGCCCCAACCCCCACACCCUCCUAUCAGCUCAUGGCAAAAGAGCCAACAUUUACUGGGCACCUACUAGGCGCCAGGUGCUCUUCUAGGCACCUUACACUUAAUCCUCACACCAAUCUUAUAUAGUUUACGCUGUUAUUAUUCCCAUUUUACAGACAGGGAAACUGAGGCUCAGAAAGGUCACUUUAUGUGUGUGUGUGUGUGUGCAUGUGUGUGUGUGCGCGUGCGUGUGUGUGUGCGUGCAUGCAUAUUUUGUAACUUAGCUACGGUGACACAACUGAGAGGUUGGAGCUAAGAUCUAAACUCAGGUGGUCCAAAUUCCAGUAGAAGCUUGUAAUCACUUCAUCAUCCAACCCAAGCCCCUUUCCUCACAGACCACACCCUGCGGUAGGGGCAGCAAGGAUCCCCAAAACCAAGAGAGAGGGAAUGGCAGACAGACUUGCGCCUCUGAUCCACAGGUCCAGGACAAGGGCCCCCAACAACAGCAGACACAGGAGGAGGUAUGGGUCUCUGUUCUGGGGCUGGGAACUCACUUUCCUGCCUAAUAAGAGAUUCCUGGUCCUCAGGAGAUAAACAGUCUCCAUAAUGCCAACUGGGACCCCCAAGAGCUGGGGAAACUAAGUCUCUCCAUGGGUAGGGGGCCUACUCAAGACCACCUAGGGACUGAAAAUCAUCCUGCCAGCCUGGCUGUCUUCCGCAAUGGACUUGGAGGUGGGAGCCAGCCAGUCCAGCUGGCCCAAGGUCACCAACGGCAUGGAAAACAAUAGACAGUGGGUCCAGCCAUGGCGGGAGCCAGAACAAAGCCCUGGGCACUUCCUCGAAUUGAGGCCCCCUCCUUCAUGGUUUGCCAAGGCACGGGGGCAGAGGAAGCCUUCCUUCAUCACGUGGCGGGGAUGUUUUGCAAAGAUGCUCUAGGGACAGCUGCAGCCACCAGUGCUGACGGAGAAGCAGGCAGACGGAACCGCUGCUGGAGGCAAGAUCUGCCUGCCAGGAAGCAGGGAAGAGAGCGGGGACUUGGGUGCGGGUCCAUGGGCCCACCACCUUGCUCCUUUGGCUGAAGCACUAAAAGGCAGGAUGUCUCUGGGAGGCCUGCACAGGAGGAUCGCUUGAGCUCAGGAGCUCGAGAACAGUCUGGGCAACACAGAAAGACCUUGUCUCUAUUAAAAUAAAUUAAAAAAUUAGCCAGGCAUGGUGGCACACACCUGUAGUCCCAGCUACUUGGGAAGCUGAUUUAGGAGGAUUGCUUGAGCCCAGGAGAUCAAGGCUGCAGUGAGCUGUGAUUGUGCCACUGCACCUCCAGCCUGGAUGACCCUGUCUCAAAAAAAAGAAAAAAAAAAAAAAAGCAGGCUCUCUCACACCGGAUCCUCCUCUCCAUGGCCCCAGCUAAGAAGUUAGCGUCUUCCUUCUGAUCUGUCCUCCACAUUGUUGCCACAUCAGUCUUCCCAAACAGCUUGGACCCAUCACUGUCCUGCUCUGAAACCCUCCAUGACUCCCCAGGCCCCUUGCCCCUGACAACCCAGACCCUCUGCUUAUCUGGAAUGCUCUCUGCCCCUCCUCCCACCCACUUUCCUUCAGGGUCCAGUUUCAAUCCUCCCCCUUCAAGAAGCUUUCGACUGCUCCAGCCCACCAAGAGGAUUCCCCUCAUCUGAGCUCCAACCCCCAAAUACAAUCCAAGGAUCUGAACCCGGAGUUUGAAGGGCACGGUGGUGGGAGAUCAAUCAGUAACAGAACAAUCCUCCCGCAGACUACAGUUCCCGUGCACGGCAGUUCCUGAUUACAAAACUGUCCUGAUAUAAUUAUUAAUAGCACUCCUCAGGGUCAGUCCUUGUGCUGGGGAGGGGAGGGGAGGGGCAGGGCCCAGGAAUGGUGCCAACCCUGGGCUCCCCACAGAGCAGGCCACAGGGAGGUGGACCCGCGAGUGCUGUGCUUAUCAUGGAGGGCUCCGUGGGGAGGUGGGACUUUGCUGAACCUCAGACAGGCCUUAAACAGAAAAUGCCAGAGAAACACUCAGGAUCACCCUUAUCAAGGGCCACAGGAAAGGCGCCAGGUUUAAUCUCAAAGCCACACCUGGAACCAACGGUUUGGAGCCUCAGGCAGCACCUUCCCGCCCUGACACCCAGCUG
rnacentral:lncRNA from 10 species